UACGUAGGGGGCUAGCGUUGUCCGGAUUUAUUGGGCGUAAAGCGCACGUAGGCGGACUCUUAAGUCGGUGGUGAAAUCCUGGAGCUCAACUCCAGAACUGCCUUCGAUACUGAGAGUCUCGAGUCCGGGAGAGGUGAGUGGAGCUGCGAGUGUAGAGGUGAAAUUCGUAGAUAUUCGCAAGAACACCAGUGGCGAAGGCGGCUCACUGGCCCGGUACUGACGCUGAGGUGCGAAAGCGUGGGGAGCAAACAGG
rnacentral:rRNA from 1 species